GUCUACGGCCAUACCACCCUGAACACGCCCACCCUCGUCUGAUCUCGGAAGCUAAGCAGGGUCGGACCUGGUUAGUACUUGGAUGGGAGUAUGGUACUAGAUCUGGGUGGCAGGAGAGU
rnacentral:rRNA from 1 species